GGAGAGGUGGCCGAGUGGCCGAAGGCGCUCCCCUGCUAAGGGAGUAGACGGCUUAAAACCGUCUCGAGGGUUCGAAUCCCUUCCUCUCCG
rnacentral:tRNA from 1 species